GGGGAUGGACUCGCGGCUUAUCAGCUUGUUGGUGGGGUAGUGGCUUACCAAGGCUUUGACGGGUAGCCGGCCUGAGAGGGUGACCGGCCACAUUGGGACUGAGAUACGGCCCAGACUCCUACGGGAGGCAGCAGUGGGGAAUAUUGCACAAUGGGCGGAAGCCUGAUGCAGCAACGCCGCGUGCGGGAUGACGGCCUUCGGGUUGUAAACCGCUUUCGCCUGUGACGAAGCGUGAGUGACGGUAAUGGGUAAAGAAGCACCGGCUAACUACGUGCCAGCAGCCGCGGUGAUACGUAGGGUGCGAGCGUUGUCCGGAUUUAUUGGGCGUAAAGGGCUCGUAGGUGGUUGAUCGCGUCGGAAGUGUAAUCUUGGGGCUUAACCCUGAGCGUGCUUUCGAUACGGGUUGACUUGAGGAAGGUAGGGGAGAAUGGAAUUCCUGGUGGAGCGGUGGAAUGCGCAGAUAUCAGGAGGAACACCAGUGGCGAAGGCGGUUCUCUGGGCCUUUCCUGACGCUGAGGAGCGAAAGCGUGGGGAGCGAACAGGCUUAGAUACCCUGGUAGUCCACGCUGUAAACGGUGGGUACUAGGUGUGGGGUCCAUUCCACGGGUUCCGUGCCGUAGCUAACGCUUUAAGUACCCCGCCUGGGGAGUA
rnacentral:rRNA from 1 species